AUGGCAACGCCGUCGCACGCGCACGGGCUCCCGCUCGUGCCCCUCCGGACGCUCCUGCUCGCCUUGCCGCUCUUGUCGCUCAUCCUCCUCCUCACGCUGCACCUCCCGCCGCGCCACCACCCGGCCCCUCCUGCCCCCCUCAUCCUCCCCACGCCCCUCCGGACCACCGCCGCCGCCGCCCAGCCUAAGCCCAAGGCCGACCCCUCCUCCUCCUCGUCGCCCUCGCCGACGACGCUCUCGCACGUGGUGUUCGGGGUGGCCUCCUCCCGCCGCACGCUGCCGCUGCGCCUCCCUCUCCUCCGCCUCUGGCUCCACCCGCCCGCGCGCGCCUUCCUCUUCCUCGACGCGCCGCCCCGCGCUGCCUCCGUCCCGGCGAACCUCCACCUCCGCGUCUCCCGCGACGCCUCCCGCUUCCCCUACUCCUACCGGAAGGGCCUCCCCUCCGCGGUCCGCGUCGCGCGUAUCGCCAAGGAGCUCCUCCUCGAGCUCCGCCAGCAGCAGCAGCACCAGUCGCCGCCGCCGAGGUGGCUCGUGCUCGCCGACGAUGACACCGCCUUCGUCCUCCCCAACCUCCUCCACACCCUCUCUAAGUACGACUGGCACGAGCCAUGGUACCUCGGCGCGCCUUCCGAGUCCGCCGCGCAGAACGUCUGGCACGGCUUCAACAUGGCCUAUGGCGGCGGCGGCAUCGCCAUCAGCUGGCCCCUCGCAGCGCGCCUGGCCCGCGUGCUUGACUCCUGCAUCAUCAGGUACCCCCACCUCUACGGCAGCGACUCCAGGAUCUACGCCUGCCUCGCCGAGCUCGGCGUCGAGCUCACCCACGAGCCAGGAUUCCACCAGAUCGACCUUCAUGGGGAUAUAUCUGGAUUUCUAAGAGCACAUCCUCUUGCUCCUUUAGUGUCACUUCACCACCUUGAUCAUGUCUAUCCUCUUUACCCUGGUAUGGAUCGUGCAAAGGCGGUUGAGCAUUUGUUCCGAGCAGCUAAUGCUGACCCAGCGAGGAUCCUUCAACAAACAGUGUGCUAUGACCAUUCAAGAUCACUUACUGCUUCAGUAGCAUGGGGCUAUUCUGUCCAGGUUUUCAAAGGCAAUGUACUGCUUCCUGACAUCCUUGCUGUGCAAAAAACCUUUGUGCCAUGGAGAAGAGGUCGCAAUGUUACGGAUGUUUUUAUGUUUAGCACCAAGCAUUAUCCAAGGGACGAGUGCAAACGAGCUGCUCUUUUCUUCCUAAAAAGUAUUUCUUCCGGCAAAGGCAAGACGGAAAGCAAUUACAGUAGGCAGCUGCCCCAGAAAUGCUUGCCAAACUUGAUUCAGUUGAGGAAUAUGCAACAAAUAAAAGUGAGAUCAGAGCUACUGCAUCUGGUUCCUGGGAAGGCUUUAAGACGACACUGCUGUGACAUCGUACCUUCUUCAUCUGAAAUCACCAUGGACAUUGACAUCAGGAAAUGCAAAGAUGAUGAAUUGAUCGCGAUGCAUUCGUAG
rnacentral:rRNA from 1 species